rnacentral:rRNA from 1 species
GAUGAACGCUAGCGGCAGGCUUAAUACAUGCAAGGCGAGGGGGCAGCAAUGUCACCGUCGUACGGGUGCGUAACGCGUAUGCAACCUACCUAUCACUGGGGGAUAGCCCGGGGAAACCCGGAUUAAUACCGCAUGACACAUUUGUAUAGCAUUAUACGAUUUGUUAAAGAUUUAUUGGUGAUAGAUGGGCAUGCGUUCGA